rnacentral:lncRNA from 1 species
GUUCCAGCAAAGCAGUUUACCCUCUGAGGCCCUCGCUGUCAGCUCCACGCUCAUACAUCCAUGCCCUGCUGUCGAGCCUGACAGCCAUCUAUUGUUCAUUCACUGCUUCCACCUCGCCACUUAAUUUGUGCACAUGUGGACUGAUGCCAAUGGAACCAAUGGAAUGUCUCUGGGUACACAUUCACUGGGACUGA